AUUGAACGCUGGCGGCAGGCCUAACACAUGCAAGUCGAGCGGAUGAAGGGAGCUUGCUCCUGGAUUCAGCGGCGGACGGGGGGGUAAUGCCUAUGAAUCUGCCUGGUAGUGGGGGAUAACGUCCGGAAACGGGCGCUAAUACCGCAUACGUCCUGAGGUAGAAAGUGGGGGAGCUUCGGACGUCAUGCUAUCAGAUGAGCCUAGGUCGGAUUAGCUAGUUGGUGGGGUAAAGGCCUACCAAGGCGACGAUCCGUAACUGGUCUGAGAGGAUGAUCAGUCACACUGGAACUGAGACACGCUCCAGACUCCUACGGGAGGCAGCAGUGGGGAAUAUUGGACAAUGGGCGAAAGCCUGAUCCAGCCAUGCCGCGUGUGUGAAGAAGGGCUUCGGAUUGUAAAGCACUUUAAGUUGGGAGGAAGGACAGUAAGUUAAUACCUUGCUGUUUUGACGUUACCAAAAGAAUAAGCCCCGGCUAACUUCGUG
rnacentral:rRNA from 1 species